AUUGAACGCUAGCGGGGUGCCUUACACAUGCAAGUCGAACGGCAGCACGGGCUUCGGUCUGGUGGCGAGUGGCGAACGGGUGAGUAAUGUAUCGGAACGUGCCCAGUAGCGGGGGAUAACUACUCGAAAGAGUAGCUAAUACCGCAUACGCCCUACGGGGGAAAGGGGGGGAUCGCAAGACCUCUCACUAUUGGAGCGGCCGAUAUCGGAUUAGCUAGUUGGUGGGGUAAAGGCCCACCAAGGCGACGAUCCGUAGCUGGUUUGAGAGGACGACCGGCCACACUGGGACUGAGACACGGCCCAGACUCCUACGGGAGGCAGCAGUGGGGAAUUUUGGACAAUGGGGGCAACCCUGAUCCAGCCAUCCCGCGUGUGCGAUGAAGGCCUUCGGGUUGUAAAGCACUUUUGGCAGGAAAGAAAUCGCACGGGCUAAUACCUCGUGUGGAUGACGGUACCUGCAGAAUAAGCACCGGCUAACUACGUGCCAGCCGCCGCCGUAA
rnacentral:rRNA from 1 species